CAUGCUCAAGCAGACAGGAACUGCCCCAGGGUUACUGCCAGGUUGUGUGGCAGAGAGGGAAGUGCAGCAGCCAGUGCCACUGGGCUGUCCCUGCUGGGAAGGAAGGUGCCAUCCAGCACAGGAGGGGCAGGGCAUGGAAAGGUAGGCACUGCUCUGUCUCCCUGUGGAAAUCAGCCCAGUGCCUGUUGGUCAAAGACAAGGACCAAUGUGAGGCUUUGGAGUUUCCUGAAAGGAAGAAGCCUCAGGACAGAAAGCACCAUUUCUAGAGCACUGUCAGUGCAAAAAUCCCAGCAAGAUGAAGACACCUGGAUAAAUGGAUGAGUGGGAUUCUGGGCCAGGUUUGCCUGUGAUGGCAAGGUGUUGCACAUGAUGAUUGAGGUGCAGAUGGUCCAUCUUUCUGGAUCUUUCUAGGAGUCCUGUGAAUCCUGAGCUUGGAACGUCAUGGUUCAUUGACUUCUGUUGAUUUUCUUUUUUCCUUGGUGCAGCAUCCAUUUGUAAGAUCUGCUGAGCCUGUGUCCAGUCUGGUGCCACUGAUUGUUGCAGGGAAGAAGAGGAAAGAGACAAGAAAGGGGAAAUCACAUCAGGACCACUUAGUUCUCAACCAGCUUAGAGCAGAAUUGUAGGUUUAGGCUUAGGGUUAGGACUAGGCUUAGGACUAGGGUUAGAGUUAGGGUUAGUGUUAUGACUGGGGUCAGGUUUAGGGUUAGGGUUAGGUCUAGGGUUUGGGUUAUGGCUAGGCUUAGGCAGUUAAGGUUACCAUUAGGGUUAGGAUAUGAAUGUGUAAUAGGGCUGCCGCGUAGGAUUUGAAAUUAAUAAAAGUUUUGAAACCACAA